ensembl:lncRNA
CCAUCCGUUCGCGCUUGACUCCCUUCACCUAAGAUGCCACAGGAGAGGGACCCUUCAGCGCGCGUGCUGGGGUCCCAGAGGCUAGAGCCGCAGCAAAGACCGCGGUCUCCGAAGCUGGAGGGAGCCACAGGUCCGGUCUGGGGAGGCUGCAGAGUCCCAGGGAGGUUCCCCACCAGAGGGAUCUCCACAAUAGGACAAGCUUGAGAGCUCUGAUGGUUCCCAAAGGUGGCUCUGCAGGCAAAAAAGUCAUAAAAAGACAGAAGCAGCCCAACAAACAUAUUGCACUGGGUGAAGAAAGUCUGGCUUGAGCAUAAACAAACCACUUGUCCGGCAAGGCUUGAUGUGUUGUUACACAGACUCUGAGAGCUUAUUUACAUACCUUUUCGG